UUACGAAAGUACUCGAGUUCGAUCAUGGUUCAGUGGUCCUACGAAGAGCUUGCUCGAAGAUGGUGAGAGUGGCGCACGGGUGCGUAACGCGUGAGCAACCUACCUCUAUCAGGGGGAUAGCCUCUCGAAAGAGAGAUUAACACCGCAUAACAUAACUUACCGGCAUGUUCGAUUGAUUAAAUAUUUAUAGGAUAGAGAUGGGCUCGCGUGACAUUAGCUAGUUGGUAGGGUAACGGCUUACCAAGGCGACGAUGUCUAGGGGCUCUGAGAGGAGAAUCCCCCACACUGGUACUGAGACACGGACCAGACUCCUACGGGAGGCAGCAGUAAGGAAUAUUGGUCAAUGGGCGGAAGCCUGAACCAGCCAUGCCGCGUGCAGGAUGACUGCCCUAUGGGUUGUAAACUGCUUUUGUCCAGGAAUAAACCUCUUUACGAGUAUAGAGCUGAAUGUACUGGAAGAAUAAGGAUCGGCUAACUCCGUGCCAGCAGCCGCGGUAAUACGGAGGAUCCGAGCGUUAUCCGGAUUUAUUGGGUUUAAAGGGUGCGUAGGCGGCCUAUUAAGUCAGGGGUGAAAUACGGUGGCUCAACCAUCGCAGUGCCUUUGAUACUGAUGGGCUUGAAUCCAUUUGAAGUGGGCGGAAUAAGACAAGUAGCGGUGAAAUGCAUAGAUAUGUCUUAGAACUCCGAUUGCGAAGGCAGCUCACUAAGCUGGUAUUGACGCUGAUGCACGAAAGCGUGGGGAUCGAACAGGAUUAGAUACCCUGGUAGUCCACGCCCUAAACGAUGAUAACUCGAUGUUGGCGAUAGACAGCCGGCGUCCAGCGGAAAGCGUUAAGUUAUCCACCUGGGGAGUACGCCCGCAAGGGUGAAACUCAAAGGAAUUGACGGGCGGCCCGCACAAGCGGAGGAGCAUGUGGUUUAAUUCGAUGAUACGCGAGGAACCUUACCCGGGCUUGAAAGUUAGUGAAGAGUGCAGAGACGCACUCGUCCUCUCUCGGGACCCGAAACUAGGUGCUGCAUGGCUGUCGUCAGCUCGUGCCGUGAGGUGUUGGGUUAAGUCCCGCAACGAGCGCAACCCCUAUGUUUAGUUGCCAGCAUGUAAUGGUGGGGACUCUAAACAGACUGCCUGUGCAAACAGAGAGGAAGGUGGGGACGACGUCAAGUCAUCAUGGCCCUUACGUCCGGGGCUACACACGUGCUACAAUGGAUGGUACAGCGGGCAGCUACAUAGCAAUAUGAUGCUAAUCUCUAAAAGCCAUUCACAGUUCGGAUUGGGGUCUGCAACUCGACCCCAUGAAGUUGGAUUCGCUAGUAAUCGCGUAUCAGCAAUGACGCGGGGAAUACGUCCCCGGGCCUUGGACACACCGUCCGUCAUUACAUGCAAGCUAGAUAGAGUCGUGCUCACUAAGUAGGACAACAAGGAGAGUAGCCCC
rnacentral:rRNA from 1 species